GACAAGGCCAAUUAAAAGAGCCCUAGGAGUCCCGGGAAGAUAGAGGCAAGACAAACCCGUCUGCUAUUCUGCCUUUGCGCAGACUGAUCACACGCGGCACACAUUCUAUAUGAUCGAUGAUUGCAAUGCGCUUCGAUUUCAUAUACUUCUUCGCUUUCUCUUUCGUAGAAAGCCCUACUUUCAUUACAUCUGACGCUAUAUAUGCUAACAUCAUUUCAUUAGAAUACAUCACAUACACAUAAUUUGCAUUAGACUGAAAGUAAAGGGGAGAGUACUAUAGAAAGCGUUACGUUCAGAUGCCCUUCAUCCUACCCGAAAUCGGAGUUGAAGCUCGACUAACAAUGAAGUUGAAAAGCCAAUUCCGGGAAAAAAACUCGCUCUUAAGCAGGGGCUAACUCCACCGAAGCUAAUACCAUUAGGAGAGGAAGAAACUUAGCUCACAAGUAGAAGGGUUUCAAACCGCUUGACUAGAUAUAGAUAGGAAAGAAGAAAUGGCAAUGCUGCUCAGUCUCUAAGCUACUCGACUGACUAACUAACUCGAUUAACUAAGAAGGAAAGGAGCUAAGAAAGUAGGGCAUAAAUAGCUGCAAGGAAUGAAGGAAAGUAGGGAACUGAUACCACCAGCCGAAGAAAAGAUAUUGUUCUUGCGGAGAAAAGCCUACUUACUUGUUCUUGCUGCUUUUAAUUUAAGAGCAAGUCGGUCUAGCUUCUUACUCUUUCACCUUUCAAAGAAGUCGAAAUAGAAAGGCGUAGGAAAGAUCCCGAGUACCUUGUUCAAGUUGCGGAUCUCCUUCAUUAGCUUUGAG
rnacentral:lncRNA from 1 species